rnacentral:snRNA from 1 species
AAAAAGAGGGUGGGGCUUCUGUCGUGAGCGACACACAGAGGGCAGUUCGUUUGCUCUACCUGUGGAAUCGACAUCGAGAGAUUUCGGAAGCAUAAUUUUUGUUGAUNNNN